CUUAAAACAUCAAAAACCAGAGGUAAGAUCGGGGGAAACUUAAAACAUCAAAAACCAGAGGUAAGAUUGGGGGAAACUUAAAACAUCAAAAACCAGAGGUAAG